rnacentral:rRNA from 1 species
UGGGGAGUAUUGGACAAUGGGCGCAAGCCUGACCCAGCCACGCCGCGUGAGUGAUGAAGGCCUUCGGGUCGUAAAGCUCUGUGGGGAAGGACGAAAAAACAUUGGCUAAUAUCCAAUGGCUUGACGGUACUUCCUUAGCAAGCACCGGCUAACUCUGUGCCAGCAGCCGCGGUAAUACAGAGGGUGCAAACGUUGCUCGGAAUCAUUGGGCGUAAAGCGCACGUAGGCGGCCUGAUAAGUCGGUAGUGAAAGCCCUCGGCUUAACCGAGGAAGUGCUAUCGAAACUGCCAGGCUUGAGUACCGGAGAGGAUCGCGGAAUUCCCGGUGUAGAGGUGAAAUUCGUAGAUAUCGGGAGGAACACCAGUGGCGAAGGCGGCGAUCUGGACGGAUACUGACGCUGAGGUGCGAAAGCGUGGGGAGCAAACAGGAUUAGAUACCCCUGUAGUCCCUGAGCGGGCUGGCAAGGCGCAU